GACGAACGCUUUCGGCGUGCUUAACACAUGCAAGUCGAACGGAAAGGCCCUGCUUUUGUGGGGUGCUCGAGUGGCGAACGGGUGAGUAACACGUGAGUAACCUGCCCUUGACUUUGGGAUAACUUCAGGAAACUGGGGCUAAUACCGGAUAGGAGCUCCUGCUGCAUGGUGGGGGUUGGAAAGUUUCGGCGGUUGGGGAUGGACUCGCGGCUUAUCAGCUUGUUGGUGGGGUAGUGGCUUACCAAGGCUUUGACGGGUAGCCGGCCUGAGAGGGUGACCGGCCACAUUGGGACUGAGAUACGGCCCAGACUCCUACGGGAGGCAGCAGUGGGGAAUAUUGCACAAUGGGCGGAAGCCUGAUGCAGCAACGCCGCGUGCGGGAUGACGGCCUUCGGGUUGUAAACCGCUUUCGCCUGUGACGAAGCGUGAGUGACGGUAAUGGGUAAAGAAGCACCGGCUAACUACGUGCCAGCAGCCGCGGUGAUACGUAGGGUGCGAGCGUUGUCCGGAUUUAUUGGGCGUAAAGGGCUCGUAGGUGGUUGAUCGCGUCGGAAGUGUAAUCUUGGGGCUUAACCCUGAGCGUGCUUUCGAUACGGGUUGACUUGAGGAAGGUAGGGGAGAGUGGAAUUCCUGGUGGAGCGGUGGAAUGCGCAGAUAUCAGGAGGAACACCAGUGGCGAAGGCGGUUCUCUGGGCCUUUCCUGACGCUGAGGAGCGAAAGCGUGGGGAGCGAACAGGCUUAGAUACCCUGGUAGUCCACGCUGUAAACGGUGGGUACUAGGUGUGGGGUCCAUUCCACGGGUUCCGUGCCGUAGCUAACGCUUUAAGUACCCCGCCUGGGGAGUACGGCCGCAAGGCUAAAACUCAAAGGAAUUGACGGGGCCCCGCACAAGCGGCGGAGCAUGCGGAUUAAUUCGAUGCAACGCGUAGAACCUUACCUGGGUUUGACAUGGAUCGGGAGUGCUCAGAGAUGGGUGUGCCUCUUUUGGGGUCGGUUCACAGGUGGUGCAUGGCUGUCGUCAGCUCGUGUCGUGAGAUGUUGGGUUAAGUCCCGCAACGAGCGCAACCCUUGUUCACUGUUGCCAGCACGUUAUGGUGGGGACUCAGUGGAGACCGCCGGGGUCAACUCGGAGGAAGGUGGGGAUGACGUCAAGUCAUCAUGCCCCUUAUGUCCAGGGCUUCACGCAUGCUACAAUGGCUGGUACAGAGAGUGGCGAGCCUGUGAGGGUGAGCGAAUCUCGGAAAGCCGGUCUCAGUUCGGAUUGGGGUCUGCAACUCGACCUCAUGAAGUCGGAGUCGCUAGUAAUCGCAGAUCAGCAACGCUGCGGUGAAUACGUUCCCGGGGCU
rnacentral:rRNA from 1 species